CUUCGAUCUUUCUAGCGAGCUCAGCUCACACUAUUGUGCCUCUAGUCAUCAUUCUUCCUUCAUUCUUCCUCCUUCCGCCAGCGUCCUCUUUAAUCUCCAACACUACAGCUGCGCUUUUACAGACGGUGUGUUGAAAACGUGAGAUUUCUUCCUCCGUCAUCAUCCCCUGUCUCUUUUCGGCUCUGUGGUCGAUGGAGGUGCUUGUUGUGCGCCCUCAGUCUUCACCUCUUCAUCCUUUCUCAGCUAUAAGUAUCACAGGGGUUUAUGUGAUAUUGUAGCUAAACUUGCGCUUCUUGUGGUCUAUUGAGGAACCCUAUUGUUUUUGGAAGGAGGAAGUGCAUUGUGAAUAUCCGUUUUUGGUAAAAUUUUGUAUUAUAUAAUUGUACGAUAGUGCUCC